rnacentral:rRNA from 1 species
CUUAGUGGCGAACGGGUGAGUAUCGCGUGGGAAUCUACCUAGAAGUGGGGAAUAACUGUUGGAAACGACAGCUAAUACCGCAUAAUCCCUUCGGGGCAAAGGCUUCGGCCGCUUUUAGAUGAGCCCGCGUUAGAUUAGGCUGUUGGUGAGGUAAUGGCUCACCAAACCUACAAUCUAUAGCUGGUCUGAGAGGAUGAUCAGCCACACUGGGACUGAGACACGGCCCAGACUCCUACGGGAGGCAGCAGUAAGGAAUCUUGCACAAUGGAGGAAACUCUGAUGCAGCGAUGCCGCGUGAGUGAAGAAGGCCCUUGGGUUGUAAAGCUCUUUCGUCGGGGAAGAAAAUGACUGUACCCGAAUAAGAAGGUCCGGCUAACUUCGUGCCAGCAGCCGCGGUAAUACGAAGGGACCUAGCGUAGUUCGGAAUUACUGGGCUUAAAGAGUUCGUAGGUGGUUAAAAAAGUUGGUGGUGAAAUCCCAGAGCUUAACUCUGGAACUGCCAUCAAAACUUUUCAGCUAGAGUUUGAUAGAGGAAAGCAGAAUUUCUAGUGUAGAGGUGAAAUUCGUAGAUAUUAGAAAGAAUACCAAUUGCGAAGGCAGCUUUCUGGAUCAUUACUGACACUGAGGAACGAAAGCAUGGGUAGCGAAGAGGAUUAGAUACCCUCGUAGUCCAUGCCGUAAACGAUGUGUGUUAGACGUUGGAAAUUUAUUUUCAGUGUCGCAGCGAAAGCGAUAAACACACCGCCUGGGGAGUACGACCGCAAGGUUAAAACUCAAAUGAAUUGACGGGGACCCGCACAAGUAGUGGAGCAUGUGGUUUAAUUCGAAGAUACGCGCAGAACCUUACCAACACUUGACAUGUUCGUCGCGACUUUAAGAGAUUAAAGUUUUCGGUUCGGCCGGACGAAACACAGGUGCUGCAUGGCUGUCGUCAGCUCGUGUCGUGAGAUGUUGGGUUAAGUCCCGCAACGAGCGCAACCCUCACUUUUAGUUGCCAUCAUUUAGUUGGGCACUCUGAAAGAACUGCCAGUGAUAAGCUGGAGGAAGGUGGGGAUGACGUCAAGUCCUCAUGGCCCUUACGUGUUGGGCUACACACGUGCUACAAUGGUAUCUACAACAGGAAGCAAAACGGCGACGUUAAGCAAAUCCUUAAAAGAUACCUCAGUUCGGAUUGCACUCUGCAACUCGAGUGCAUGAAGCUGGAAUUACUAGUAAUCGUGGAUCAGCGUGCCACGGUGAAUGCGUUCCCGGGUCUUGUACACACCGCCCGUCACACCAUGGGAGUUGGUUCUACCUUAAGGCAAGGUUUAAAAUCCUUGACCACGGUAUAGUCAGCGACUGGGGUGAAGUCAUAACAAGGUAGCCGUA